AAUGGACGAAAGUCUGACCGAGCAACGCCGCGUGAGUGAAGAAGGUUUUCGGAUCGUAAAGCUCUGUUGUAAGUCAAGAACGUGUGUGAGAGUGGAAAGUUCACACAGUGACGGUAGCUUACCAGAAAGGGACGGCUAACUACGUGCCAGCAGCCGCGGUAAUACGUAGGUCCCGAGCGUUGUCCGGAUUUAUUGGGCGUAAAGGGAGCGCAGGCGGUCAGGAAAGUCUGGAGUAAAAGGCUAUGGCUCAACCAUAGUGUGCUCUGGAAACUGUCUGACUUGAGUGCAGAAGGGGAGAGUGGAAUUCCAUGUGUAGCGGUGAAAUGCGUAGGAUAUAUGGAGGAACACCAGUGGCGAAAGCGGCUCUCUGGUCUGUCACUGACGCUGAGGCUCGAAAGCGUGGGUAGCGAACAGGAUUAGAUACCCUGGUAGUCCACGCCGUAAACGAUGAGUGCUAGGUGUUAGGCCCUUUCCGGGGCUUAGUGCCGGAGCUACGCAAUAAGCACUCCGCCUGGGGAGUACGACCGCAAGGUUGAAACUCAAAGGAAUUGACGGGGGCCCGCACAAGCGGUGGAGCAUGUGG
rnacentral:rRNA from 1 species